rnacentral:rRNA from 1 species
AUUGAACGCUGGCGGCAUGCCUUACACAUGCAAGUCGAACGGUAACGCGGGAGCAAUCCUGGCGACGAGUGGCGAACGGGUGAGUAAUACAUCGGAACGUGCCCAGUAGUGGGGGAUAGCCCGGCGAAAGCCGGAUUAAUACCGCAUACGACCUACGGGUGAAAGCGGGGGAUCGCAAGACCUCGCGCUAUGGGAGCGGCCGAUGUCAGAUUAGGUAGUUGGUGGGGUAAAGGCCUACCAAGCCUACGAUCUGUAGCUGGUCUGAGAGGACGACCAGCCACACUGGGACUGAGACACGGCCCAGACUCCUACGGGAGGCAGCAGUGGGGAAUUUUGGACAAUGGGCGCAAGCCUGAUCCAGCCAUGCCGCGUGCGGGAAGAAGGCCUUCGGGUUGUAAACCGCUUUUGUCAGGGAAGAAAUCCUUUGGGCUAAUACCCCGGGGGGAUGACGGUACCUGAAGAAUAAGCACCGGCUAACUACGUGCCAGCAGCCGCCGCGGUAA